rnacentral:rRNA from 1 species
UACGUAGGGUGCGAGCGUUAAUCGGAAUUACUGGGCGUAAAGCGUGCGUAGGCGGUUCGUUAAGUUCGUUGUGAAAGCCCCGGGCUCAACCUGGGAAUGGCAAUGGAAACUGGCGGGCUGGAGUAUGGCAGAGGGGGGUGGAAUUCCGCGUGUAGCAGUGAAAUGCGUAGAGAUGCGGAGGAACACCGAUGGCGAAGGCAGCCCCCUGGGCCAAUACUGACGCUCAGGCACGAAAGCUAGGGUAGCGAACGGG